GACGAACGCUGGCGGCGUGCCUAACACAUGCAAGUCGAACGAGCGAGCGAGAGCUUGCUUUCUCUAGCGAGUGGCGAACGGGUGAGUAACACGUGAGGAACCUGCCCCUAAGAGGGGGACAACAGUUGGAAACGACUGCUAAUACCGCAUAAGCUCACGUCCCGCCAUCGGGUCGAGGGAAAAGGAGCCAUCCGCUUUGAGAUGGCCGCGCGUCCGAUUAGCUUGUUGGUGAGGUAACGGCCCACCAAGGCGACGAUCAGUAGCCGGACCGAGAGGUUGAGCGGCCACAUUGGGACUGAGACACGGCCCAGACUCCUACGGGAGGCAGCAGUGGGGAAUAUUGCACAAUGGGGGAAACGCUGAUGCAGCGACGCCGGGUGGAGGAAGAAGGUCGUCGGAUUGUAAACUCCUGUUGUUGAGGAAGAUAAUGACGGUACUCAACAAGGAAGUGACGGCUAACUACGUG
rnacentral:rRNA from 1 species